rnacentral:rRNA from 1 species
UACGUAGGGGGCUAGCGUUGUCCGGAAUCAUUGGGCGUAAAGCGCGCGUAGGCGGCCCGGUAAGUCCGCUGUGAAAGUCAAAGGCUCAACCUUUGAAUGUCAGCGGAUACUGCCGGGCUAGAGUCCGGAAGAGGCGAGUGGAACUCCUGGUGUAGCGGUGGAAUGCGCAGAUAUCAGGAGGAACACCAAUAGCGAAGGCAGCUCGCUGGGACGUUACUGACACUGAGGCGCGAAAGCGUGGGGAGCGAACAGG